rnacentral:rRNA from 1 species
UAGGGAAUUUUGGACAAUGGGCGAAAGCCUGAUCCAGCCAUGCCGCGUGAGUGAAGAAGGCCUUCGGGUUGUAAAGCUCUUUUAGUCGGAAAGAAAGAGUUGCAAUGAAUAAUUGUGAUUUAUGACGGUACCGACAGAAAAAGCACCGGCUAACUACGUGCCAGCAGCCGCGGUAAUACGUAGGGUGCGAGCGUUAAUCGGAAUUACUGGGCGUAAAGGGUGCGCAGGCGGUCUUGCAAGUCAGAUGUGAAAGCCCCGGGCUUAACCUGGGAAUUGCGUUUGAAACUACAAGGCUAGAGUGCAGCAGAGGGGAGUGGAAUUCCAUGUGUAGCAGUGAAAUGCGUAGAGAUGUGGAAGAACACCGAUGGCGAAGGCAGCUCCCUGGGUUGACACUGACGCUCAUGCACGAAAGCGUGGGGAGCAAACA